GAUGAACGCUGGCGGCGUGCCUAAUACAUGCAAGUCGAGCGGACAGACGCGGAUCUUGCUCCUCUCUCGUUAGCCGAGGACGGGUGUAUAACACGUGUAUAACCUACCUAUCUUUCUGGGAACACUUCGGAACACCGGCGCUUAUACCGUAUAAUCUAUUGCACCGCAUGGUUCGUUAGUGAAUGACGGUUUUGCUGUCACUAAUCGCUGCAUCCGCGCCGCUUUAGCUAGUUGUUAAGGUACCGGCUUACCACGGCAAGGAUGCGUAUCCGACCGGAGAGGGUGAGCGGCCACACUGGAAGUGAGACACGGUCCAGAGUCCUACGGGAGGCAGCAGUAGGGAAUCGUCCGCAAGGGGCGAAAGCCUGACGGAGCAACGCCGCGUGAGGGAGGAGGGUCGUCGGAUCGGAAAACUCGGUUAUUAGGGAAGAACAAAUGUGUAAGUAACUAGGCACGUCUGGACGGUAACUAGUCAGAGAAGCACGGCUAACUACGGG
rnacentral:rRNA from 1 species